AUACGGAGGGUGCGAGCGUUACUCGGAGUCACUGGGCGUAAAGCGUCCGUAGGCGGUCGGGUAAGUCGGGUGUGAAAGCCCCGGGCUCAACCUGGGAAGUGCACCCGAUACUGCUCGACUCGAGUGCGGGAGAGGAUGGCGGAAUUCCCGGUGUAGCGGUGAAAUGCGUAGAGAUCAGGAAGAACACCAGUGGCGAAGGCGGCCAUCUGGCCCGCAACUGACGCUGAGGGACGAAAGCGUGGGGAGCAAACAGGAUUAGAUACCCUAGUAGUCC
rnacentral:rRNA from 1 species